rnacentral:rRNA from 1 species
AGGAGAAAUCCUGGCUAAUACCGCAUAAGUAAGUAAUUAGAAAGGAUGCUCCGGCAUUCGCCGAAGAUGAGCCUGCGGGACAUUAGCUUGAUGGUGAGGUAAUGGCUUACCAUGGCUUCGGUGUCUAGCUGGUCUGAGAGGAUGAUCAGCCACACUGGAACUGAGACACGGUCCAGACUCCUACGGGAGGCAGCAGUGGGGAAUAUUGCGCAAUGGGGGAAACCCUGACGCAGCAACGCCGCGUGAGUGAGGAAGGCUUUCGGGUCGUAAAGCUCUGUCAGAUGGGAAGAAAGUGCAUUGGUCUAAUAGGCCAGUGUAUUGACGGUACCUUCAAAGGAAGCACCGGCUAACUUCGUGCCAGCAGCCGCGGUAAUACGAAGGGUGCAAGCGUUAUUCGGAUUUACUGGGCGUAAAGCGCGCGCAGGCGGAUUGGUAAGUCAGAUGUGAAAUCUCGGGGCUCAACCCCGAAACUGCGUCUGAAACUAUCAAUCUAGAGUCUUGGAGGGGGAAGUGGAAUUUCGCAUGUAGGGGUAAAAUCCGUAGAGAUGCGAAGGAACACCAGAG